UACGAAGGGGGCUAGCGUUGCUCGGAAUCACUGGGCGUAAAGCGCACGUAGGCGGAUUGUUAAGUCAGGGGUGAAAUCCUGGAGCUCAACUCCAGAACUGCCUUUGAUACUGGCGAUCUCGAGUCCGGGAGAGGUGAGUGGAACUGCGAGUGUAGAGGUGAAAUUCGUAGAUAUUCGCAAGAACACCCGUGGCGAAGGCGGCUCACUGGCCCGGUACUGACGCUGAGGUGCGAAAGCGUGGGGAGCAAACAGG
rnacentral:rRNA from 1 species